GCUAGUGUAGCUUAAGUCAAAGCACAACACUGAAAAUGUUAAGAUGGACCCCAAAAAGUCCCGCCGGCA
rnacentral:tRNA from 1 species